GCUGUGCAUGGUGGCGCACGCCUGUAAUCCCAGCACCCUGGAGGCUGAGGCAGGAGUAUUGCUAGUUCAAAGCCAGCCUCAG
rnacentral:sRNA from 1 species